rnacentral:rRNA from 1 species
AGUGAACGCUGGCGGUAGGCCUAACACAUGCAAGUCGAACGGCAGCACAGUAAGAGCUUGCUCUUACGGGUGGCGAGUGGCGGACGGGUGAGGAAUACAUCGGAAUCUACUUUUUCGUGGGAGAUAACGUAGGGAAACUUACGCUAAUACCGCAUACGACCUACGGGUGAAAGCAGGGGAUCUUCGGACCUUGCGCGAUUGAAUGAGCCGAUGUCGGAUUAGCUAGUUGGCGGGGUAAAGGCCCACCAAGGCGACGAUCCGUAGCUGGUCUGAGAGGAUGAUCAGCCACACUGGAACUGAGACACGGUCCAGACUCCUACGGGAGGCAGCAGUGGGGAAUAUUGGACAAUGGGCGCAAGCCUGAUCCAGCCAUACCGCGUGGGCGAAGAAGGCCUUCGGGUUGUAAAGCCCUUUUGUUGGGAAAGAAAAGCAGCAGGUUAAUACCCCGCUGUUCUGACGGUACCCAAAGAAUAAGCACCGGCUAACUUCGUG